rnacentral:rRNA from 1 species
UUAUACGAGAAUUCAGUCAAACUCCGAAUGCCAGCGACUUGUUAUCCGGGAGUCAGACUGCGAGUGCUAAGAUCCGUAGUCGAGAGGGAAACAGCCCAGACCACCAGCUAAGGUCCCUAAGUAUACGUUAAGUGGAAAAGGAUGUGGAGUUGCUUAGACAACUAGGAUGUUGGCUUAGAAGCAGCCAUCAUUGAAAGAGUGCGUAAUAGCUCACUAGUCGAGUGACUCUGCGCCGAAAAUGUACCGGGGCUAAACGUAUCACCGAAGCUGUGGAUGCACACCAUCGGGUGUGCGUGGUAGGGGAGCGUUCAAAGGGCGGAGAAGCCGGAUCGUGAGGACCGGUGGAGCGCUUUGAAGUGAGAAUGCCGGUAUGAGUAACGAAAAGAAGGGUGAGAAUCCCUUCCGUCGAAAACCCAAGGUUUCCUGAGGAAGGUUCGUCCGCUCAGGGUUAGUCGGGCCCUAAGCCGAGGCCGAAAGGCGUAGGCGAUGGAAAACAGGUUGAAAUUCCUGUACCACCUCCUUCCCGUUUGAGUGACGGGGGGACGCAGGAAGGUAGGGUAAGCGCGCUGCUGGAAUAGCGCGUCCAAACCGUAAGGCCGAUGAACAGGCAAAUCCGUUCAUCAUUAGGCGAAGCGGUGAUGGCGAGGGAAAUAAUAGUACCGAAGUUCCUGAUCCUACACUGCCAAGAAAAGCCUCUAGCAAGGGAAGAGGUGCCCGUACCGCAAACCGACACAGGUAGGUGGGAUGAGAAUUCUAAGACGCUCGGGAGAACUCUCGUUAAGGAACUCGGCAAAAUGACCCCGUAACUUCGGGAGAAGGGGUGCUCUCUAGGGUGAAUAGCCUUGGAGAGCCGCAGUGAAUAGGCCCAAGCGACUGUUUAUCAAAAACACAGGUCUCUGCGAAGCCGCAAGGCGAAGUAUAGGGGCUGACACCUGCCCGGUGCUGGAAGGUUAAGAGGAGGGGUUAUCCCUUUUGGGAGAAGCUCCGAAUUGAAGCCCCAGUAAACGGCGGCCGUAACUAUAACGGUCCUAAGGUAGCGAAAUUCCUUGUCGGGUAAGUUCCGACCCGCACGAAAGGUGCAACGACUUGGGCACUGUCUCAACGAGAGACCCGGUGAAAUUAUAAUACCUGUGAAGAUGCAGGUUACCCGCGACAGGACGGAAAGACCCCAUGGAGCUUUACUGCAGCUUGAUAUUGGAUUUUGGUACAGCUUGUACAGGAUAGGUAGGAGCCUUGGAAACCGGACCGCCAGGUUCGGUGAAGGCGUCGGUGGGAUACUACCCUCGCUGUACGGAAAUUCUAACCUCGGACCGUAACCCGGUCCAGGGACAGUGUCAGGUAGGCAGUUUGACUGGGGCGGUCGCCUCCCAAACAGUAACGGAGGCGCCCAAAGGUUCCCUCAGAAUGGUUGGAAAUCAUUCGCAGAGUGCAAAGGCAAAAGGGAGCUUGACUGCGAGACCUACAAGUCGAGCAGGGACGAAAGUCGGGCUUAGUGAUCCGGCGGUACCGUAUGGAAGGGCCGUCGCUCAACGGAUAAAAGCUACCCUGGGGAUAACAGGCUUAUCUCCCCCAAGAGUCCACAUCGACGGGGAGGUUUGGCACCUCGAUGUCGGCUCGUCGCAUCCUGGGGCUGAAGUAGGUCCCAAGGGUUGGGCUGUUCGCCCAUUAAAGCGGCACGCGAGCUGGGUUCAGAACGUCGUGAGACAGUUCGGUCCCUAUCCGUCGCGGGCGCAGGAAAUUUGAGAGGAGCUGUCCUUAGUACGAGAGGACCGGGAUGGACACACCGCUGGUGUACCAGUUGUUCCGCCAGGAGCAUGGCUGGGUAGCUACGUGUGGACGGGAUAAGUGCUGAAAGCAUCUAAGCAUGAAGCCCCCCUCAAGAUGAGAUUUCCCAUAGCGCCAAGCUAGUAAGACCCCUUGCAGAUGACAAGGUUGAUAGGUCUGAGGUGGAAGCGUGGUGACACGUGGAGCUGACAGAUACUAAUCGGUCGAGGGCUUAUCCAA